rnacentral:rRNA from 1 species
GGAUCAGUGGGUCGGUCGUGCCACUGGUAUGCACUGGCCUUACUGAUUCCUCCUUCUUGAAGAACUGUGAUGUCAUUUACUUGGUGUUGCAGGGAAACAGGACUGUUACUUUGAAAAAAUUAGAGUGUUUAAAGCAGGCAAUCGCUUGAAUACAUUAGCAUGGAAUAAUGAAAUAGGACGUUCGACCCUAUUUUGUUGGUUUCUAGGAUUGACGUA